rnacentral:rRNA from 1 species
GACGAACGCUGGCGGCGUGCUUAACACAUGCAAGUCGAGCGAUGAACCUUUCAUGAAUUUUUCGGAAUGAUUGGAAGAGGAUUAGCGGCGGACGGGUGAGUAACGCGUGAGCAACCUGCCUUAAACAACGGGAUAGCCUCGGGAAACCGGGAUUAAUACCGUAUGAGACCCCGCCUUCACAGGAAGAAGAGGCUAAAGAUUUAUCGGUUUAAGAUGGGCUCGCGUCUGAUUAGCUAGUUGGUGAGAUAAAAGCCCACCAAGGCAACGAUCAGUAACCGGCUUGAGAGAGUGAACGGUCACAUUGGAACUGAGACACGGUCCAAACUCCUACGGGAGGCAGCAGUGGGGAAUAUUGCACAAUGGGGGAAACCCUGAUGCAGCGACGCCGCGUGAGCGAUGAAGGAAUUCGUUUCGUAAAGCUCUGUCCAAGGGGAAGAUAAUGACAGUACCCUUGGAGGAAGCCCCGGCUAAAUACGUGCCAGCCGCCGCCGUAA